rnacentral:lncRNA from 1 species
CUUCACAGGGGGAUGAGGAGGGGGGGUGACAGGGUGACAUGGGUGGGUGUCGCACCCUCCUCCCUUUCUAUAGGUCUUACAGGGAUGAAAGCGUCAGCGGAGAAGACAGUUAUCUAGGAGGCGCAGGAGGAGGGAGAAAAACACUGAGAGAAGAAGACGAAGGAGAAGAAGGAGAAAUUGAAGAGAAGGAGGAUAAGACGAAGAGUAAAAGAGGAGAGCUAGAAGUAGAAAGCAUAAAGAUGAGGUAAGAGUGUGAGGGUGGGAGGAAAGAGGAACAGCAGGAGGUAUAAACACUUCGAAUGUGAAUCAUAGACAUCUGGCAGGAAUGGAGAGGAAAAGGAGGGGGGGAUUGAGAUGUGAGACAUAAGGAGAGGUGACAGAGCUAGAGUGGGUGAGUGAGACAAAAGUAGGCACAAUGAUGGAGGAAAUGAGAAAGGGAACAAGACGCCAAAGUAAGAGAGGAGUGAGGAGCAAGGAAUGGGAGACAAAUGGAGAGUAAUACAUGUAAAUCAGCCUGUUUAUCCUCAUGUCCUUUUUCAUGGCACUCUUAUUUAUUUGGUUAGAGCUUGUAGGGGUGAUCGGCUUCCCUGCCUAGAUCUGUCGGAGUGUGUUUAUGUGAGAGAGAAGGCAGUAGGGAGGGAGGGAGGGAGGAGAGUGAAAUGUGACAAAUCUUGUCAACUCGCUGUCCUCCCACAUAAUCUGCUGACAGCUUUCCCGUCCAGCGAAAAAAAAGUAAGUAAAAGAGAAAGAUUUCCUUUUUCUACAGACAUUAAUGAGCUCUUAGAUGCAGAGCUGAGAGAAGAUUUGGAAAGAAACACUGAGUGACAAAGAGAAUUGAGUUGUUUCUUGAGAGUAGUUUAUACAGAGUAAAGCCAAUUCCUGCAGCUGUCUUGUGUCUAUCAUGAACAACACAGAUGGAUUUUUUUUAAACUUUUGAUUUAAAAUUCUGGCACUUAUGACAUAAAAAAGAGGAUUUCAGUCAUACUUUGACAUCUGUUGAAGAGUCACAUUUAAACCAUUUUUUAUGUUUUUUGUGUCCCCCAAAAGAGCCCACGUGAUAAGGGUUUCCCUGCCAGUUUAUGCUUGGUAGAAAUUAGGCAAAGCUUUAUUAGAUUGGUCAUAAAGUGUAACAAUGUUGAUUGAUCUUCACAGCUAAAACCAUGCCAAGGAUAACCUGAUCACACAUGUCAUUUCAAAUCAAUCUCCUGAAAGGACUUCUGGCACAUUUCACCUCUUGACACUUUGGAAAAAAAUGAAGUACAAUUUCAAACAAGCAUUGUGACAUAACCAUUAGUAUCUGUUUCAGGCUGGUGUUGAGGAAAUAAUGAGGAGCCCAAGGAGGCCAUAAGCAUCUCUGACAGGGACAAGUGGUACAAGACCCUGUCCUGCAAUCCAGGCAACAACAAAGCGGUGAGUGUGUCUCUGAGUUGCUGAUCACAGCCAGGUAACUUAAACCAUCAGUCAGUACGUUUACACGACACUCAAGAAAACCGAAUUAUUGCCUUACUCCGAUUUAGACCGGACAACUGAAGUGCAUGUUAACACCUUAGUAUGGCUUUAAUUGGAGUUUGAGAACUAUGAUUGGAGUCGGAGAACUCUGAUUAAGACACCCAGACAAUGCAAGUGGAAUUAGAUUUUCUCUACCAUAUAACCAGCUUAGUGCGAUUAAGCUGUGCAUGUAAACGCACUGAGUGAUAGUGGCAAAGUGCAGUAAUCAACAGGAGUUUUACUUUAUUACUGCUUUUCUUAAACUUGAAAAUAUUAAAAAAAAAAAAGGGUUUAUUCAAGGGCUGCACAACCCUAAUAUUCAGCCAUCUAAAUUUACUACAGACUGAUGGGUUGUUAUUUAAAAUUUUCAGUUCACUCACUUGGUUGGUAAAUGAUCAAAGAGUAAGCAGGUUGUUUUUAGGGCAACUGCAAGUCUUUUAAAUAUGUAAACGCAGUUCAUGUCACUGCUUCUUCUCAAUAUCAAUAACCUGUUUUUCUUUGAUGUUGCAGAUUCCCUUUUCUCAUCAUCCAAUUCAAGAGGUCUCAGGCAGCUGGAAAGCAUUGUGUCAGACACUGGAUCAAAAUAAGAAAAAUCCCUCUACUAAAAAUUUCUGUUACAAAAACAACUCGUGACAAUGUGAUGGGACUAUCCCAACGCAUGAUCCGCUCACUGUCUGAGCAAAUGGUAUGAGGAACAAAAUUAUCUCACCUCUAGUGGACUGUGAGCUAAGAUUAUUUAUGUAGAGCAUGUUAAUUCCAAAUAUGAGAAUUCAAGUCUCGUGCUUUUUUUAGGCAUCGGGGCAUAAAACCUCUUAGGAAAAAUAUGAGUUAAAGAUUGUAUGUAUGGCAUAAGAUAGUAGCAAUGAGUGUAGAAAACAGGAGAUAUAAAGUGAUCAGGGUCUAAAGUUAAAUGUUUUUUGACAAAAGAGUCAUAGUAUGAACAAAAUAAAGAGUCAGCGUGGGCUGUUUCUCAACUUUCAACCAAAAUAUAAAAUUUUAGGAUUGUUAAAUUAAAUAUUCUACCUUCUUUGUCCAUAUAAUUCAUUCAUCUGGACUGGGGUUUCCUAACUAUUCAUUGAGGCUGUGUUAUGUAUUACCUUGAGUAAAAUAUUCAAACUCUGUGGUA